rnacentral:misc_RNA from 1 species
GGAGGUAAAAGUCGUAACAAGGUCUCCGUUGGUGAACCAGCGGAGGGAUCAUUACCGAGUGCAAACUCAUAACCCUUUGUGAACCUAUAUCUGUUGCUUCGGCGGCUCGCUCUCGGGCGAGCCCGCCGGUAAUAUCAGUAUCUCUGUCUGAACCCGACGAUACUUCUGAGUGUUCUUAGCGAACAGUUAAAACUUUUAACAACGGAUCUCUUGGCUCUA